AACGCACGAGACCUGCGGACCUGCGGAAGGAUCAUUACCGAGUGUUUCUACUCUAAACCCACUGUGAACCUUACCACUGUCGUUGCUUCGGCGGGCGUCCGCGCCCGCCGGCAGCACCCAAACUCUUGAUUUUUAGCAUGCCUCUCUGAGUACUAAAGACAAAACAAUCAAAACUUUCAACAACGGAUCUCU
rnacentral:misc_RNA from 1 species